UAGGGAAUAUUGCAAAAUGGGCGAAAGCCCGAUGCAGCAACGCCGCGUGGGCGAUGAAGGCCUUCGGGUCGUAAAGCCCUUUUUGAGGGGAUGAGGAAGGACAGUACCCUCAGAAUAAGCCUCGGCUAACUACGUGCCAGCAGCCGCGGUAAAACGUAGGAGGCGGGCGUUAUCCGGAUUUACUGGGCGUAAAGCGCGUGCAGGCGGAUUGGAGAGUUGGAUGUGAAAGCUCCCGGCUUAACUGGGAGAGGUCGUUCAAUACUUCCAGUCUUGAGUGCAGUAGAGGGAAGUGGAAUUCCGGGUGUAGUGGUGAAAUGCGUAGAUAUCCGGAGGAACACCAGUGGCGAAAGCGGCUUCCUGGACUGUAACUGACGCUCAGACGCGAAAGCUAGGGUAGCAAACG
rnacentral:rRNA from 1 species